UACGGUAGGGUGCGAGCGUUAAUCGGAAUUACUGGGCGUAAAGGGUGCGCAGGCGGUCUCGUAAGCUGGGUGUGAAAGCCCCGGGCUUAACCUGGGAAUGGCAUUCAGGACUGCGAGGCUUUGAGUGCGGCAGAGGGAGGUGGGAAUUCCACGUGUAGCAGUGAAAUGCGUAGAGAUGUGGAGGAACACCGAUGGCGGAAGGCAGCCUCCGUGGGCCAGCACUGACGCUCAUGCACGAAAGCGUGGGGAGCAAACAGG
rnacentral:rRNA from 1 species